AUUGAACGCUGGCGGCGUGCCUAACACAUGCAAGUCGAGCGGUAACAGGUGUAGCAAUACAUGCUGACGAGCGGCGAACGGGUGAGUAAUGCUUUGGAAUCUUCCCAGUAGUGGGGAAUAACCAGUCGAAAGAUUGGCUAAUACCGCAUACGUCUGUAAAGGGAAAGCGGGGACUCGCCUCUUCUUCGGAAGAGAGGCCUCGCGCUAUUGGAUGAGCCAAAGUCGGAUUAGCUAGUUGGUGGGUAAUGGCCUACCAAGGCGACAAUCCGUAGCUGGUCUGAGAGGACGACCAGCCACACCGGAACUGAGACACGGUCCGGACUCC
rnacentral:rRNA from 1 species